rnacentral:lncRNA from 1 species
CUUGUUCUAGGUUCUGAGACGCAGAGCCGCUACUCCUUCUGCUUUGUUCCCUCUGUGGGGGGGGAAAAAAAAAAUUAAACCUUUUGAAGCAGUGUGCUAGAUCUUCGGUGAGACAAUGGGUUCAGACAAAAGAGUGAGUAGAACAGAGCGUAGUGGAAGAUAUGGUUCCAUCAUAGACAGGGAUGACCGUGACGAGCGUGAAUCUAGAAGCAGGCGGAGGGACUCAGAUUACAAAAGAUCAAGUGAUGAUCGGAGAGGCGAUAGAUAUGAUGACUAUCGAGACUAUGAUAGUCCGGAGAGAGAACGUGAAAGAAGGAACAGUGACCGGUCUGAGGAUGGCUACCAUUCAGAUGGUGACUAUGGAGAACAUGACUAUAGACAUGACAUCAGUGACGAGAGAGAGAGCAAGACCAUCAUGCUCCGUGGCCUUCCUAUCACCAUCACCGAGAGCGAUGUAAGAGAAUCCACAGGUCUAACAUUCUAAUAGGGACAGCAAACUUCUCAUUGUCUCAUGGUGUUAUCUGAUGUCGUUUAGUGGAAUAGAUUUCUUUCUUUGGUGGUGGACUGAGGGAAAGUACUAUUUAUGUCUAACCUUUGAAUAUAAUAUGGAAUUUCCUAAAGUUUCUGACUGUAAUAAGCCUGGUUUGUUCAUUAGCUAUUAGAUGGUAUAGCUGAUUCGUGUUUUUAAAGGUUUUAAAGCUGAGCAUGAUACAUCAUACCUGUAAUCUUAGCACUUAAGAGUUAGAAACAAGAGAUCUCCCUGAGAAUCCAUUGUGAUCUUUAUAGUAAGUUCUAGACUGGCUAGCACUACAUAGUCAUAUCCUGCCUCAAAAAAAAAAAAAAAAA